rnacentral:rRNA from 1 species
UACGUAGGUGGCAAGCGUUGUCCGGAAUUAUUGGGCGUAAAGCGCGUGUAGGCGGCCCGGUAAGUCCGCUGUGAAAGUCGGGGGCUCAACCCUCGGAUGCCGGUGGAUACUGUCGGGCUCGAGUACGGAAGAGGCGAGUGGAAUUCCUGGUGUAGCGGUGAAAUGCGCAGAUAUCAGGAGGAACACCAAUUGCGAAGGCAGCUCGCUGGGACGUUACUGACGCUGAGACGCGAAAGCGUGGGGAGCAAACAGG